rnacentral:sRNA from 1 species
UAUUAUUGGUGCUACUAUCCUUACUACGUCUAAGGAGGGGUGAACCAGCCCUGGUCGGAAACGGAGCAGGUCAAAACUCCUGUGCUGAUCAGUA